GACGAACGCUGGCGGCGUGCUUAACACAUGCAAGUCGAACGGAAAGGCCCUGCUUUUGUGGGGUGCUCGAGUGGCGAACGGGUGAGUAACACGUGAGUAACCUGCCCUUGACUUUGGGAUAACUUCAGGAAACUGGGGCUAAUACCGGAUAGGAGCUCCUGCUGCAUGGUGGGGGUUGGAAAGUUUCGGCGGUUGGGGAUGGACACGCGGCUUAUCAGCUUGUUGGUGGGGUAGUGGCUUACCAAGGCUUUGACGGGUAGCCGGCCUGAGAGGGUGACCGGCCACAUUGGGACUGAGAUACGGCCCAGCCUCCUACGGGAGGCAGCAGUGGGGAAUAUUGCACAGUGGGCGGAAGCCUGAUGCAGCAACGCCGCGUGCGGGAUGACGGCCUUCGGGUUGUAAACCGCUUUCGCCUGUGACGAAGCGUGAGUGACGGUAAUGGGUAAAGAAGCACCGGCUAACUACGUG
rnacentral:rRNA from 1 species